GACGAACCGUGCGAACGUUGUUCGGAAUCACUGGGCUUAAAGGGCGCGUAGGCGGCCUGCCAAGUCCGGGGUGAAAGCCCCCAGCUCAACUGGGGAAGUGCCUCGGAUACUGACGGGCUCGAGGGAGGCAGGGGUCGUGGGAACUUCCGGUGGAGCGGUGAAAUGCGUUGAUAUCGGAAGGAACGCCGGUGGCGAAAGCGCACGACUGGUCCUCUUCUGACGCUGAGGCGCGAAAGCCAGGGGAGCAAACGGG
rnacentral:rRNA from 1 species